rnacentral:hammerhead_ribozyme from 1 species
AUCCAGCUGACGACGUCCCGAAUAGGACGAAACGCGCGUCGAACUGGAU